UACGUAGGGUGCAAGCGUUAAUCGGAAUUACUGGGCGUAAAGCGUGCGCAGGCGGUUUUGUAAGUCUGUCGUGAAAUCCCCGGGCUCAACCUGGGAAUGGCGAUGGAGACUGCAAGGCUAGAGUUUGGCAGAGGGGGGUGGAAUUCCACGUGUAGCAGUGAAAUGCGUAGAUAUGUGGAGGAACACCGAUGGCGAAGGCAGCCCCCUGGGAUAAUACUGACGCUCAUGCACGAAAGCGUGGGGAGCAAACAGG
rnacentral:rRNA from 1 species